ACGUAGGGUGCAAGCGUUAAUCGGAAUCAUUGGGUUUAAAGGGUCCGCAGGCGGUCAAUUAAGUCAGAGGUGAAAUCCCAUAGCUUAACUAUGGAACUGCCUUUGAUACUGGUUGACUUGAGUCAUAUGGAAGUAGAUAGAAUGUGUAGUGUAGCGGUGAAAUGCAUAGAUAUUACACAGAAUACCGAUUGCGAAGGCAGUCUACUACGUAUGUACUGACGCUGAGGGACGAAAGCGUGGGGAGCGAACAGG
rnacentral:rRNA from 1 species